UAGCAGAAUCAUCUAUUGCAAAAAUAAAUGGCGUAUCUUGCCUUGAAGGUUUGCAAAAAUAACUUAAACUAGCGAUUCUCCGUGCAUAUCAAAUUGCUCUUGCAUUGUUUUGAUGACAGCCUUGAACAAGUUGCUACAUC